rnacentral:rRNA from 1 species
GACGAACGCUGGCGGCGUGCCUAAUACAUGCAAGUCGAGCGGACCGACCAGGAGCUUGCUCUUUUUCGGUUAGCGGCGGACGGGUGAGUAACACGUAGGUAACCUUCUCGUAUGACCGGGAUAACUACGGGAGACCGGAGCUAAUACUACAUAAUACCGCAUACGGCUUGGACUUUGGUUGAUACGCACCUUGGGCGGCCACUUCCGGCGGUGCCCGCGUCGCAUUUGGUAGUUGGUGAGGUAACGGCUCACCAAGGCGACGAUGCGUAGCCGGCCUGGGGGGGUGAACGAGCACAAUGGGAAUGAGACACGGCUCAAGCUCCUACGGGGAGGAGCAGUAGGGAAUCUUUCGCAAUGGACGAAAGUCUGACGGAGCGACGCCGCGGGAGCGAAGAAAGUCUUCGGAUCGGAAAGCUCUGUUGUUAGGGAAGAAGAAGCGUCGUUCGAACAGGGCGGCGCGGUGACGGUACCUAAAGAGAAAGCCCCGGCUAACUACGUG